rnacentral:rRNA from 1 species
UACGUAGGGUGCAAGCGUUGUCCGGAAUUAUUGGGCGUAAAGGGCUCGUAGGCGGUCCAUCACGUCGGGAGUGAAAAGCUGGGGCUUAACCCCAGUCCUGCUUCCGAUACGGGUGGACUAGAGGUAGGCAGGGGAGAACGGAAUUCCUGGUGUAGCGGUGAAAUGCGCAGAUAUCAGGAGGAACACCGGUGGCGAAGGCGGUUCUCUGGGAAUGUUCUGACGCUGAGGAGCGAAAGCGUGGGGAGCGAACAGG